UUCUCAAGAGUCUCUCUACCCAUAGUUGGUGGAAAAUCUCGUUAAUUUUGCAACUACAAGUGAUUACAAAAUUGUUAUGAAAAUAGGGGUUACUCCCUCUAUUUAUAAUUGAGGUAGCUUGCUCCCUAAGUUAAAACCCAAAAAUUACAAAGGCCCAAAAUACAUAUUUUGGUCUAAGUCGAAAUCCUGUGUCAAGCAACCUGAUUUGACACUUCGACAUCUAAUACAACUCGACACACACUACAUGUUUCGGCACAUCCUUGUUUUCC
rnacentral:lncRNA from 1 species